UCGGACCACAAAGAAAAUAGUUCUUGUAUGAAAAUAUCUAUUUAAAGGACGUUUAUUGAGGUUGAUUAAUGAUUGACGUGUCAGCUUACCGGAAGAGGCGGAGCUAAACCAGGAAGAACGCCUGGUCGGCCAACCAGUACAAGUUGUGCGGCACUUUCAUAAAUAGAAGCUGUACCGUCUUUUUUCACUUCGUUAGAAAUAUGUUGUUCGUUUCCCCUGAUUUUCACAAACUAGUGAAGUUCGUUUGAAACACCCGGUUUUUGUUUCUGGUUAAUUUUUGCUGUUGCGGCUCCUGAAUGAAACACCUGGUUAUGUUCUCAUUUAAUUAGUUAGUUUGUCGUUGUUGCGACUCGACUCGGCUGCCUCGCAGUUUGGACUGACGAUGUGCAAAUGUUUGUAACAGUUUUUGUUUUGGUGAUUAUUAUAGUCUCACUGAGGUUUUAGCCUCACUUCUUACCAGUGAUAUUACUGGAAUAUUUGGCUCAUAAAAAUAACUAAGUUAACAUCGCACGCACUGUGUGUCUCUUACUUGAGGAGGCCUGUCCUAGAUACCCUACUUACACAUCCACCAUGGCAUGCAUCAGUGGAACACACUCUCUCUGUCACUCACACGCUAUGGAUGAACCUGGACCAGGGUUACAAGAGUAGUCAGCUACGAAACCGGAAGUGCUCUUUAAAUAUCUCAUAUUAAGUUAUGAAUAUUUAUUAAAUUUUGCACACUCGCCACAUGGAGGGGCAGAGGGGGGAAGAUCAGCGAGGUUGGAGCUACACUGUAAAUAGGGAAUUAAUGCUGAUGUUGUAAAUCCCCCACAUUCUAUAAGGUUCAAAAAGGAUUUUUUCAUAUACAGUAUUUAAAGUCAGUGGGACACAACUUGUGAGGCACUGUGUAAAUCACCGCGGUGAAUGAGGUGUGUGGGCUGAUUAAACGUGGUAUCCAUUGUAAGUCGCUUGAAAAGUGUCUGCUAAUUGAAACUUGCAGGAUGUGACAACCAUUAGCGGCAGUGAAUCUGAGGAUUACAGCCUGAAGUGGGAGCUGCUGAUGGGUAUCUUUGAGAUGGGGUCGGAGAAGCCCUCCCCCAUCCAGGUCGGUGCUGCUGUCUCGAAACGGUUUACUGCAGCCUCUUGUCUUAAAACGGAUACUGUUCAAGUGCCAUCACUUGUGCCCCUCUGACCCAGUGUUGGAACCGAUUCCUUCAUGACUGGAGCUAAAUCCUACAUACCCUGUCGAUCCCCCCCCCCUUCAUGGUGCAAUUUUCUGACUGCGGCUCUGUUGGGGACCACUUUUCCUGUUGUUCACAUGAGCUGAACAUGUUUGUUAUGUAACGCCUGGGUUAUUUUCAAAAUACAGUUGUAUUUUCUUUGGUUUCCUUCCUUUUGCUUUCCAACAGCUGUAGUCAUUGUGCCAACCGGAGAACUGGCCCUUCAGUGCACGUCCUCAUCGCCGUGCCUGGAAAGAUACUGGAUCUCAUCAAGAAGGGAGUGGCCAAAGCUGACCAAGUGAAGAUGAUUGUAUUCGAUGAGACAGGCACAUACGCUGUUGUUGCAGGAUUUAGUGCAGAUGGUACAGGAAAUCCUCAGCACCUUACCCACUGACAGGCAGAUCAUGCUUUACUCUGCCACCUUCCCACUCAGCGUGCAGAAGUUCUCGAGCGCUCAUCUGCAGAAGCCCUUUCAAGUGAGCCUGAUGGAGGACCUCCCACUGAAGGGCUUUACAUAGUGCUAUGCCUAUGUGAUUGAGAGGCAGAAGGUCCACUGUCUUAACAAUCUCCUC